rnacentral:rRNA from 1 species
UACAGAGGGGGCAAGCGUUGUUCGGAAUUACUGGGCGUAAAGGGCGCGUAGGCGGCCUUCUAAGUCGAACGUGAAAUCCCCAGGCUUAACCUGGGAACUGCGUGUGAUACUGGAUGGCUUGAAUCCGGGAGAGGGAUGUGGAAUUCCAGGUGUAGCGGUGAAAUGGCGUAGAUAUCAGGAGGAACACCGGUGGCGAAGGCGGGUCUCUGGGCAGUGAACUGACGCUGAGGAGCGAAAGCGUGGGGAGCGAACAGG